CCAUUAACCCAUGUUGCAUAUGAAAGGCCAAAAUAUCUUGUAAUUCUUAUCAUUGAAAUAAAAUAUCUCUCUCUUUCUUUCCUCUCUUUUCUUCCUUUUUGUAGAUCUAGGGCUUUGUUUCUGAUAAUGACAAUGGUACUUUUGAUACUAGGGCUACGGCUGUUCUGCCUUCUCCUUCUGAUUUGCAGGCGCCACUUGCAAGUGGGUAGUUUCUAUUUUGUUAUUGUUUCCUGUUUGUCUAUCUUCUCUGAGGCUUUGUGGAUCAUCUUCUCGCUUUAUGUCUUGAUAUUCCGGAGAAACAUGGUGCUAUUACCAAACAAAUGAGGGAGCAACUGUUUUAUCGAAGUAAGUUGAAGAUGAUGUAUUGAAUUAUUGUCCAUUUUAAUAAGUGUAAUUGUACUACUUAACUGGUAAAAUGAUUUGAUAUAUGAGAAAAUGAAACAGGGUAGAUUCUAGUUCUUAUU